CUCACCCAGGGCUCCUGUAGCUCAAGGGGCAGGCCUGAGCCCUGCACCCGCCCCGAAGCGGUCCAGCCCCCCCCACCCCCGACGGGGCGCCCCGAUUCCCCAGGCUCGCACUGGCCCCACCGAGGCAGGGGACCUGACCGGCUCGGAGCUCGGCUGGAUGUUACAGGCGUGCAAA
rfam:Ovis aries breed Texel chromosome 15, whole genome shotgun sequence.